AUAUCAGUCACAGUACAUAUACUAAAAAUUGGAAUGAUACAGAGAAGAUUAGCUUGGCACCUGCACAAAGGAUGCCAUGCAAAUUCGUGAAGUGUCCCAUAUAAAA